GGGUUGUGAGGUUAAGCGACUAAGCGUACACGGUGGAUGCCCUGGCAGUCAGAGGCGAUGAAGGGCGUGCUAAUCUGCGAUAAGCGCCGGUAAGGUGAUAUGAACCGUUAUAACCGGCGAUACCCGAAUGGGGAAACCCAGUGUGAUUCGUCACACUAUCAUUAACUGAAUCCAUAGGUUAAUGAGGCGAACCGGGGGAACUGAAACAUCUAAGUACCCCGAGGAAAAGAAAUCAACCGAGAUUCCCCCAGUAGCGGCGAGCGAACGGGGAGGAGCCCAGAGCCUGAAUCAGCAUGUGUGUUAGUGGAAGCGUCUGGAAAGGCGCGCGAUACAGGGUGACAGCCCCGUACACAAAAGCGCAUGUGCUGUGAGCUCGAUGAGUAGGGCGGGACACGUGGUAUCCUGUCUGAAUAUGGGGGGACCAUCCUCCAAGGCUAAAUACUCCUGACUGACCGAUAGUGAACCAGUACCGUGAGGGAAAGGCGAAAAGAACCCCGGCGAGGGGAGUGAAAAAGAACCUGAAACCGUGUACGUACAAGCAGUGGGAGCCCCACCACUAAGCCAGUGGUGAACUCCACAUACGCAUCCUUUGCUGAGGAUACGGUUAACGGAGCGAAAGCGACGUUCAACCGCAAAAGAAGCAGAGGGGGCUUAGUGGUGGGGUGACUGCGUACCUUUUGUAUAAUGGGUCAGCGACUUAUAUUCUGUAGCAAGGUUAACCG
rnacentral:rRNA from 2 species